rnacentral:tRNA from 1 species
CGCGGGGUGGAGCAGUUGGUAGCUCGUCGGGCUCAUAACCCGAAGGCCGUCGGUUCGAGUCCGGCCCCCGCUACUA